rnacentral:rRNA from 1 species
CGUAGGUGGCGAGCGUUGUCCGGAUUUAUUGGGUUUAAAGGGUGCGUAGGCGGUCCUAUAAGUCAGUGCUGAAAUAUCCCGGCUUAACCGGGAGGGUGGCAUUAAUACUGCAGGACUUGAGUAAAGUUGAGGUUGGCGGAAUUGACGGUGUAGCGGUGAAAUGCUUAGAUAUCGUCAAGAACACCGAUAGUGUAGACAGCUAACUAAGCUUUAACUGACGCUGAGGCACGAAAGUGUGGGGAUCAAACAGGAUUAGAUACCCUGGUAGUCCACACUGUAAACGUUGAUUACUCGAUGUUGGCGAUACACUGUCAGCGUCUUAGCGAAAGCGAUAAGUAAUCCACCUGGGGAGUACGCCGGCAACGGUG